UCCUUAUUUGUAAAUUAAGGAGUUCUUCCAGUUUGUGAUUCUCUGCACUUUAACGUUUAAACGUAUCACUUGGAUAGGUUUUUAAAAAUAAGGAUUCUGGGAACCCCAAUAUGUUUAAGUAGAGUAGGUCUGGGGUGACGCCCAGGAAUCUGCAGCUUUUAACUAACCCGGGCAUCAACAAAACUGGCUGAGAAGCUCAGGCAAAGUUUAUGAUGAGUGAAAAUCUUAUUGUGAGCUGUCCAAAACACAUAACGCUGAGCUCCAUCUGCAGAGAUCCUGUUUUGAUAUGCUUGGUUGGACUGUGUCUUGGUAAUUUGCAUUUCUCAGAAGUGAGGCCAGUCAGCUGGUCAACCACCCCGCCUGUCGCUCUGUGACCAUCCCCGAUCGUCCGCGGUGCUUCUUUACUUGCAUCUUGUGGGAAUGACAUCUGCGCAGGCAGCCCCUUUUUAAGCACUGCCACGGGCACGUGAGCCUAGCCCUUAAAAUCCCAGCCCAGCCCUGGAUUUGCAGAUACUCAGGGCAGGGCAAGGCGCCUUUCCACGUUUGGUGUAGUCAUGCAUGCUGCCAUAAGAUGGCACCAGAGAACGCGCCUACCGGGAUAGGGCAGGGCAAGGAGGCGGGGAAGAAAAAAAAGCGACGAGUGAAGAUUGACAUCCCUUAAGUUCAAUCUUUGGUUCUCUGACUCCCAAGCUUCCCAUUCUCUUAGGAGGCUGCAUUUGUGGCGCUAAAAGAAGGGAUGAGCGUGGGAGAUGCCGGGACAUGUGCUCGCUGAAGAUACACCUGUUAGUCCAAGUUGAAGAUUAAUCUACAUGGUGGUUCAAGUAUGUCCUUUGUUCACCCUAGUGGACCAUCGUAGGAGCUUCGUGGAGUGCUUCCUCAGACUGCAACCCUACCCCCCUGAUAGUAGAUUCUAUCAACCAAGUUUCAUAAAGAGUUCUGAUUCCCAGAGG